CAUUAAGUAAUAUCAGAUGCUGUGUUGCCCUCCUGGCUGUGAGGCAUGCUCUGACCCCAUGAGGUUUGCACCGGCUGCCCCUCUUCCUAUAAUACUCUCCCACCGGAUCACUCGUCACACCGUCAGGUUUUCACACAGAGAUAGGUGGAACUGGACAAAGCACAUCUAUUUGUGAACCCAAUGACAAAUUGAUGUCAACCCAUGGAGAAGGAGCAACAAAAGGCCUCAGGGAUGAUCACCAUAAAUAUGCAGAAAAAUGACACUCCAGGAAUUAAGGGAAGCUUGGAAGAAAAUUUCAUUUGCACCCCAUUUUCCUUUGCUCUGGAAGAGGGAUAAUCUGAAUGUGAGGUGUGUAGGGGGUGUGUGCACUAGGUCCACGACCCUUCCAUGCUUCUUUGAGGUAGUGUGAGGAGGUGUGCAUUGCACACCCACACCAAAACACCAUGACUCUGGCUGGGACGUGACUGAAGCAGAAGGAAGAAAGGACAGCGCCUGGCACCUGGAUAGGAAGAGAAGUGUGGAAAGCACCCACCUGUCCACUCCAGGCCGACUCUGUUCCCAAAUUGGCCUGAGCUGGCUGUGCUACUCUGUGUGUGGAGGACAGGGUAGGGACAUCAGAUGGAAAAACUAGGAUUGUUUAUCCCCUCCAAAAGCUGGGGGAGACUGAAAACACAGGCCUGAAAUGACUGUCUAAGUUUCUUUAUUUUUUUAUUGGGGUAAUAUUACAAAACCAUAGAUAUCAGGUGUACAUUUUCUUACCUUGGCAACUGGUUUACCCACCACACCUGCCAUCCACCACCCACCGAGCACCCCACUCUACCUGUUCCAGGUCCUCCUUCCCCUCUGGUAAAUGCCAUUCAGUUGUCAGAA